AUGAGGGUCUUUAUAAAUAAUAAAGUGAUAAAACAACCAUAUAUUACUUGCUCAUAAAUAUGGCUUUAAACAUCAAGUUUAUUUAUAUAUUAGUUAUCUUUAUUUCCAUAUUUCUUGUUGCACCAAACAUUGGCAUACCAAUAAAAUGUUCUGGUGAUCAUGAUUGUCCAAAAAACUGGUGUCAAUUAUCAAUGAAACAUAAGUGUAAGGCUGGAUAUUGUAAAUGUGUUAAAAUAACCGUGCUUAGAGAUUCUGUUCCAACAUGAUUCUGUAUUAAGUGCUAUACCAAAGAGAAUAAACAAAUUAAUUGCUAAAAUAUUUCAUGAGCUGCCAUAUAGUAAUUUGAACUAUUUUUUCUAUUUUCAAGAAUCUUUGUAUUGCAGUUAUACUUCUGUAUUUUAAGAUUAUGGUAAAAAGAAAAAAAUAUGACAUCAAAUAAUGUUAUUUAGA